AUGGGCAACUCCGGAAGCACAGCUCCCGCGCGUCUAGGAAAGACCCAUGUUCCAGAUUUAGAAUGGAAGGUGCAUGACUUCUCAGCGCUGCUUGAGACGAAAGCUACCUCGGCGAUAUCUUCUUUUUUUCACUGCUUUGGGCACAAGUGGUGCCUGCAAGUGACUCCAAAGCACAAUCAAGAAGCUCAAGUGUCUCCAAAUCGCAAACAAGAUGAUAAAGGAAAUCCAUAUGUUGCUCUUUCUCUUAUGAUAUUCCGGGGAGGCUUGGAGCCAGGUCACACGGUGCAUGCAGUGUUUCAGUUGUCAAUAUUCAACCAUUCGAAAGGAAUGUAUCGUGGAUGCAAAGCUAGCUACAACUUCGAUGUCAAGAAUACCUACUCGAACAAGGAAUGCUUGAUUCCUCUUGAGGAGCUACUGAAAUCAUCUGCUUUUCUGGUUGAUGAUAGUUGUGUCUUUGGUGUGGAGAUAUUAAAAAUUGACGUCUCUUCUCCCGAAAUGAAGUCUGCCGUGGUUCAGAAAAAGGCUACCACAGUUCAGAACCUCUUUGUCCAGAAGAAGGGAUUCAUCAAAGGGACAUACACUUGGACCAUGAACAAUUUCCUAGAAUUGGACUCUCAGCACUUUGUCCGUUCUCCUACAUUUGAAGUUUGCGGGCAUAAAUGGUACAUGGGCAUGUAUCCGCGUGGUGGCAAGAGCAGCACUGAUUGCCUCGCCUUGGGUUUGUACCCGGAGUCCUCGGAUGAGCUCUUUAUGGAGUCCAGGAAGGUGUUUCAAAUGAGUCUGUCCAUCCUGGACCAAAAGAAUGGGAAAUACUACGAAAGAACUUCAGGUCUCUUGGUGCGUUUUAGUCAAGGCUGGUCAUGGUCCGACUUCUUGCCACUCAAGGAACUCCAGGAUCUGUCCAGAGGCUAUCUUAUAGAAUCGAACUGUGUCAUCAAGGCUGAUCUUACUAUCUUUGGGUCAUCCAGUGAUUGCUAG
rnacentral:rRNA from 1 species